GAGGGUAUAGCUCAAGUGGUAGAGCACAUGCCUAGCAUAGAUGAGGUCUUGGGUUCAAUCCCCAGUACCUCCU
rnacentral:tRNA from 1 species